rnacentral:rRNA from 1 species
GAUGAACGCUAGCGGCAGGCCUAACACAUGCAAGUCGAGGGAGAAGCCCUUUCGGUGGCAGAAACCGGCUCACGGGUGCGUAACGCGUAUGCAACCUACCUUUCACAGGGGGAUAGCCCGAAGAAAUUUGGAUUAAUACCCCAUAAUAUUAUUGGAUGUCAUCAUUUGAUAAUUAAAACUGCGGUGGUGAAAGAUGGGCAUGCGUCCUAUUAGCUAGUUGGAGUGGUAACGGCACCCCAAGGCUACGAUAGGUAGGGGUCCUGAGAGGGAGAUCCCCCACACUGGUACUGAGACAGGGACCAGACGGCUACGGGAGGCAGCAGUGAGGAAUAUUGGGCAAUGGUCGGAAGACUGAACCAGCCAUGCCGCGUGCAGGAAGAAUGCCUUAUGGGUUGUAAACUGCUUUUAUAUGGGAAGAAUAAGGCGUACGUGUACGUUGAUGACGGUACCAUAUGAAUAAGCAACGGCUAACUCCGUG